rnacentral:pre_miRNA from 9 species
UCUCGAUAGCGUAAAAGUUAACUCAAAUUUGUAUAGAGUUGGAACGUUUGCCUACGUUUGCUGCUAGGAGCGCUGGUCAAACUGCAUACAGAUUUUAGUUAACUACGCUAUUGA